UAGAAAAGUUGUGUAGCACCACGUCAGCAGCCACGUCAGCGGCCCGGUCAGCAGCCCCGGCCAACCAGAACGCGUCGCGUGGCAAGGCAACGCUGACCAGAGAACGGGCCACGUGGGCGAUUCGCGUGCGCGCGAUCGAACGGCCUAGAUCCGUUCCCGCGCACACGGACGGCCCAGAUCAAACGUGCGCAUGGACGACCCAGAUCCACGCGCACGGACGGCUAAGAUUCAAUCAGGCACGGACGGCCCAGAUUGCAUCGCGAUGAACGACCCAUAUUUAAUCCCAAUUAAAUCGCGAUCGG
rnacentral:lncRNA from 1 species